UGCCAGCAUAUUUUUUAUUAUAUUCUACCAAGGUUGUUAGGUCAGAUGGCAUUCAUAUCCCAGGAUUUUUAUUAGUUUCUUUUCUGUCUAGUUAGUACUACUUGCCAUAGCUAACUGAUUUUUUUAAUUCUUCAGAAAUAUUUUUGCCACCAUUUUGAAUUGGUCUAGGACAUUUAAUUCCUCCAUGAAGGGGUCUUCUUAAAUUCUCAAGGCAAUUUCUCCAUGUAAUAAAACAGUGGAAAAUUUGUGGAUCAUGUGAUACACCACUUUAUUGGAGAAAUUAACUCCAUGUGGUUGAUUGAGAAGAUAGUAAUCCUUUAAAGUUCACAGUGAAAUAAACUUGUUUGUAUUAAAGAUGCCAUAAGAUUUUAAUUAUUUUUAAUUUUUAUUUAUUUUUAGUUUUUGCUAAAAUAGAAAAUAAGAUUGACUUGAGGGAUAAAACAAACCAAGACAGCUUUUUAGAAUGUUACUACAAUAUUUCUAUCAUCUACCAAUGACAGCAUGACAUCAUAUUUGUCUCUAGGAAAACUCUUGAAAUUUUAUUUUAGGUAGACUUUAGAAGUAAACACCUAACAACUGAGACUGGAGAAAAACUCUCACUGAAAACAUCAAAUCUCUUUCAAGAAAUAUGCAACUCAUUUAAUAUGAAAAAAGUUUAGGAGAGGGGUACCUGUUAAUUAUUUAUUUGUAUUUUAAAGUGUUUUUUUUGUUUUUAAUGUUAAUUUUGAAAAGUAAUAUAUCUGCAUAUAUUAAUAUUUUGAAGUUUUUUGUUCACUUUUUACAUUAUUUUAUAUUGUUAUAUCUUCUGGUCCUACAAAAAUAUGAAUUAUAAAAGGAAAAUAAGACAUCUUUUUCAGGGAAUUCAAGUUAAUCUGACUGACAAUUAUUUACAGAAAAACUAGCUAUGGUGUACAGAACUUUCCACGACAUGCAGGUGUUUAAUGAAAGUCACUGGUUUGUUUUCACUGUUGUAUGAUGAUCUGCUGCAGGGCAGAUUGUUAAUGAUCUGAACUUAAAUGUAUAAUACUUCAAUUGGGAAUAAUGUUUAAUGGUUUUGGUCAUUGUUAAUAGCAAACAUUAAGGAAGGGACCCAUUUAUAGUAGAAAACUACAGUAAAGCUGUAUAAUGGCAGCCUACAACCUUCAUUUGAAUAGAAUUGAGUUCAUAGUCUGGCCCAAUUUUGGCACCUCAUUAAUUUUUGAGGACAUUCCUAAUUUGCAUUGAGAGAUGAGGCCCCAUUCUGACAGGCCAGCCCUGAAGGUUGUGAACACAAAUUAUCAAUAGGUUGGCUGGUAAGAGUAAAAAGGCUCAAAUCAGACAAAGAGAAGCAGUACAAUGUUUUUCCUAGUAAAAAAAUAGCAUAAUCUUCUGACAUUAAAGCUUAAAGUGAAAUAAAUUUGUUUGUCUUGAAUAAACCA
rnacentral:lncRNA from 1 species